CUAUGUGGCAAGUGAGUAUUGGUUGGGUUAUGUUUGCACGUGUUUGUUUGUUGCCUUGCCAAGUUUCUCUUCUGAUGUCUUCCAGUGACACUUAUUAUGUUAGAUGAGACAUUACUUUCGCUCCCAUCGUCUCUGUCUCUUCUACUCAUGUACAGACUGUUUUGGAGACAUUAAAUUGAAGUAGUGGUAGUCUGGUCCGCCAAUGACGAUGGUCUUUUAGGGUUUUGAUAGCGCCGAUGCCUUUUAAUCGUCCCACCGAGGAAGCACAGGCACCGAUAAUGGCCAUAGGGGUAACCAUCAACCCGGCGAUUCGAGAUAUUGUUUUCAAUAAUAAAUCAUAGUUAAUAUCCAAAGUUAUGAAUUUACUGAAGAUAUUCGGGUAGAUAGGUUUCAACCGGAGUUGGUAUUGGCGAUCACUCAAUUUUCAACUCUGGUAGAUUUUUGUUUUCACAUAGUUGAUCAAAAUUUAAUUAGGGUUAUUGAAAAAAAUAUACCUUAAUCAUGGUUUCACCACAUUAUGUAUUUAUAACUUUAUGUAAGAGUUUUUUUGUUUCUUUUGUUCAAUGAUAUUGAUUUGUUUUUGUGAAUCUAAUAAUAUGCAGGUUGAGUUAUUUUGGUUUAUGAAAUAAUGUCACAGGUCACCAAAUGGAAAGUUCAGAAAGGUUAAGUAAAGGUGGUUUUUCGGCUAUAGUUUCACACAACACAUGUAAAAUCCUCCUUUUAUCUCCUCUAAUCCAGUUUCUUUAGUAACACUACGGUAGAAUUUGUAUAUGGUAUAUGGUAGUUGUAAAACAUGUUCUUUUUGGGAUCCAUUUAUCACAUAUAUUGAGCACUAUGGAGAAAAGAGACUAAAACAGAGCGCACCUGAAUCGCCAAAUUCCAAAGAAGCCCAUGAUGAUGAUCACUCUACUACAAAGCCGUUUAACUUGCAUACAAACUGAACCAGAAGGCUGCAUCAUCAAGCAUUAAGGAUUUGAAACAUCUGCUAUAUGCUCAGGGUCGAGCCAUACUUAACGGUGUCAAUUACGGCUUAACAUCAACAAGAAUCCAAGAUGAAACGGGGCAUCAGUUAGUAUUCAUUCUCUAAUCAUCUACAAAUGUGCUUUUAAAACAAUAAUAAUAGAAGACUCAGGUACCUGUUCGCUAUGUAUAACCAUUUUUAUCCAAUAUUCUUUUUUUUUUGUUUAGGAGUGUUCACGGUUCGGCUGACCGGUUUUGACGGUUGAACCGCUAACUAUAGUUUUAGGUAACAGCAAAGCGAACUGGCCGUGUUGGGUGACGGUUUAACGAUUCAGUUUUGACAGUUUCGCGAUUUAAACUGAUUUUCGUUCUAAGCGAACCUUAAUGUAUUUUGCACCCUAUUUGACCCGUUUGAUUGACCAAUACAUAUACUUUGGGUCGAA